CAAAAGACCAAAUGAACAGUAAAUCUUCACGUGAUUCUUGGAAGAAGAAGAAAAGUGCAUUAAAUAAUAUUGAAAAUAGAAUAAAUGUAAAUAAUGAGAAUUAAAAUCAGUAAACCUAUCACCAUUCACUUCCUUUCUUCUUUCACGCUCAAUCAUCCUUCUCUCUCUCACUUUCGAUCUCUUACCAUCUCGCCACUCUCGAUCGCUCUAUCUCACACCUCUCUCGCUCAUGUCAUCUCUCAAUCUCAACCUUAUUCACAAACUUUCACUCUACAUGCCAAAAAAACAAAAUGCUUUAAAGAGAUUCAAGCAGUAAAACUCACCUUCGGCGGUGGUCCGACGGUAAUGACGAUGCUUGGAUCUUCCUCCCGUCGCCGCUCAACUCUUCUAGCUUUAGGGUUUUCGCUCUCUGAAAACUUUAGGGUUUUUUUUGUGGCUGAUUGAAGUUAGGUUUUUCGUCGCCGCUCCUAAAAAACCCUCCUUUUUUCCUACAGCAUCCGCCUCUUUUUAUACCCAAUCAGUUAGGGUUUUCGAGCUAGCUAUGGAGAUUAAAAAGGGAAACCUCUUGGAAGUGCUUUUAGGUGCUCAGCUUUGCCUGUCUCGCUUGAUACUUAAAUCUGGAAACGGUAAUAUGAACUUAGCUUUCUUCCUCUAACUUUGUCUCAAUUCUCUUUUGGGUUAUUUUUUGAACUUUACAGCCUUUGCUAAUUACUUGGUUUUACUGUAGUAAAAAUUGGUGAAAAGAAACACUUCGGUUAUUUGCAAAGCUCAACUAUUGCUACUACCAUGAACUUCUAGGUGUGAAGAAGUGCUAGCUAUCAAGGAUGAAAAUCAGUUCCGUUAUAAGCUAAUGUUAAUGUUAAGUCUCAUUACAUUGUCUUACUUAACUGUUAGUGCAGAAUUUCUUAUUAAUUGGAAAUUUUGUUCAACUAUGAGGAAUUAUUCUUACUGUUAUGCUUAUUAAUCUCUGCAGGUUAGUAGGUGUUGCCGGUUGAAUGUGUUGUUGCUAAUGUGUUUGNNN
rnacentral:lncRNA from 1 species